AACAUCAGUUGAGAGGAAGCCUUUGCUCGGACGCUUUGAAUUCGCAAAGUAUGAAAAAAAUUAAUGAAGCUGCAGAUCGAAGGAGAAAAGUACCUUGUUGGAAACACAAUCUGCAAAAGAACACAUUAAAAUUAGGUGGACCAAAGCAAACAAUAGAAAGGCGAAAUCCGCCAUUGUUUUGUGUUCCAUGUCAAACAGGUAAAAGCUCGAAUUGAUAAUGGCAACAAAAUAAAAGGUUGUAGAGAGGAGAAGUAUCCAACCAAAACUAUAGUUAAUGUUAUCGACAGUAUCACAGGCCAGAAAAUAUCUUUGCCUCACUGCAACAACGAAUAGUCUGACGUCUUCCGGUUGGCUGUUCAAUAACUGGAUUUCGCUCCGCUCGAUUUCCGCCUGGAUCAGCUCAAAUGCAAGAGACGAAGCGUAGCAAUGAAUGGCAAACAAGAGCAAAGCAGUCAUUGGAUAGAUGGCUGAUAAAGUCGAAAUGGCAGUGAUGAAGAGACGACGGUCAAAAGAUUUUCGCAUGCGGAAGUGGUUAUCCGUGUUCAAUAAAAGAAUUCCGGACACCUUUAAUCAUUCGAGGUCUUACCACCAAGAUGAUGUAAACAAUUCCCAACGAAGAUAUUCUGCGAAUUCGAUUGCAAUUGCUUGCAGCUAAAACAAGUUUCAUUCGAUCGAAACUUUCAAACAGAUCGAUUGGUCUCAUGGCAACCAGCAAGAUAACGUGAGUUCCAAUUGCAUGAAUACCGUAAUUAAUGAAAUCGAUUAUCCAGUUCCAGGUGCCCGUUUCUGUGCUGAAAACCAUGAACCCUUUUGGCCGAUCAAGCGAGGCUUGCAUUCGUAGGGUGUGCAAGAAAUAGAAAAUGCCGACCAGACAGGUGAUGUUUAACAAAAAACAGAAAACUUUGUAUGCAAAUGUUAGCCACUGAAAAGUCUUGACGGAUAAAGUUGAAGUCUCUGCCAGUUCAACGCCAAGAAUCCGGAGCCAGAUUAACACUGGGCGAAUGGUCCAUGCCCAGCGUCUAGUUGGAGGGAGCUGGAUGUGGGUCCCUUGUGAUGGUGGACCUACUCGUACGACCAUUAUGGUUUUACUAGAAAGGGGGAACCAAGACGAAGAAAAACGGCUGCUUGGUUUCCUUUGUUUGCUUUCUUCAUUCGAAUCCAAUCGGUUAAUAGGAAUGAUUGCAAUAUUUUAUG